GGGCUCGCUUCGGCAGCACAUAUACUAAAAUUGGAACGAUACAGAGAAGAUUAGCAUGGCCCCUGCGCAAGUAUGACACGCAAAUUAAAAUAUUAAAAGAAACUAAU
rnacentral:snRNA from 1 species